AACGAACGCUGGCGGCGUGCCUAACACAUGCAAGUCGAGCGCGAAUGGGAGCAAUCCCUAGUAGAGCGGCGCACGGGUGCGUAACACGUGGGUAAUCUGCCCAGAAGUCCGGAAUAACCUGCCGAAAGGCAGGCUAAUACUGGAUAAGCUCACGGGGUCUUCGGACCUUGUGAGAAAAGAUGGCCUCUGUAUACAAGCUAUCUCUUCUGGAUGAGCCCGCGGCCCAUCAGCUAGUUGCGGGGUAAAAGCCCACCAAGGCUACGACGGGUAGCUGGUCUGAGAGGACGAUCAGCCACACUGGAACUGAGACACGGUCCAGACUCCUACGGGAGGCAGCAGUGGGGAAUUUUGCACAAUGGGCGAAAGCCUGAUGCAGCAACG
rnacentral:rRNA from 1 species